rnacentral:rRNA from 1 species
UAGAGAAUACUAAGGCGCUUGAGAGAACUCGGGUGAAGGAACUAGGCAAAAUGGUACCGUAACUUCGGGAGAAGGUACGCCCUUUCUGGUGAUGGGAUUUACUUUCAGAGCUGGAGAGGGCCGCAGAGACCAGGUGGCUGCGACUGUUUAUUAAAAACACAGCACUCUGCAAAUUCGUAAGAAGACGUAUAGGGUGUGACGCCUGCCCGGUGCCGGAAGGUUAAUUGAUGGGGUUAUCUUCGGAGAAGCUCUUGAUCGAAGCCCCGGUAAACGGCGGCCGUAACUAUAACGGUCCUAAGGUAGCGAAAUUCCUUGUCGGGUAAGUUCCGACCUGCACGAAUGGCGUAACGAUGGCCACACUGUCUCCACCCGAGACUCAGUGAAAUUGAAAUCGCUGUGAAGAUGCAGUGUACCCGCGGCUAGACGGAAAGACCCCGUGAACCUUUACUAUAGUUUUGCACUGGACUUUGAUGAUGACUGUGUAGGAUAGGUGGGAGGCUGUGAAGUGAGGACGCUAGUUCUCAUGGAGCCGCCCUUGAAAUACCACCCUGUUGUUAUUGAGGUUCUAACUUGGUCCAGUAAUCCUGGAUGAGGACAGUGUAUGAUGGGUAGUUUGACUGGGGCGGUCUCCUCCCAAAGAGUAACGGAGGAGCACAAAGGUACCCUCGGUACGGUCGGACAUCGUACCAAGAGUGUAAAGGCAAAAGGGUGCUUGACUGCGAGAGUGACGGCUCGAGCAGGAACGAAAGUUGGUCUUAGUGAUCCGGUGGUUCUGAAUGGAAGGGCCAUCGCUCAACGGAUAAAAGGUACUCCGGGGAUAACAGGCUGAUACCGCCCAAGAGUUCAUAUCGACGGCGGUGUUUGGCACCUCGAUGUCGGCUCAUCACAUCCUGGGGCUGAAGCAGGUCCCAAGGGUAUGGCUGUUCGCCAUUUAAAGUGGUACGCGAGCUGGGUUUAGAACGUCGUGAGACAGUUCGGUCCCUAUCUGCCGUGGGCGUAGGAAAAUUGAGAGGAGCUGCUCCUAGUACGAGAGGACCGGAGUGGACGAACCUCUGGUGCACCGGUUGUCACGCCAGUGGCAUGGCCGGGUAGCUAAGUUCGGACGGGAUAACCGCUGAAAGCAUCUAAGCGGGAAGCCUCCCUCAAGAUGAGUUUUCCCAUGAAGCCCGUUGAAGACUACGACGUUGAUAGGCAAGGUGUGGAAGCGCAGUAAUGUGUGAAGCUAACUUGUACUAAUUGGCUGAUUGUCUUGACCAUAUAAUCUGAG